AAUCAACGCUGGCGGCGUGCCUCAGACAUGCAAGUCGAACGAUUAAAGCUCUCUUCGGAGAGUGCAUAAAGUGGCGCACGGGUGAGUAACACGUAAGUAAUCUACCUUCGAGUGGGAAUAACAUCGGGAAACCGAUGCUAAUACCGCAUAAUGCAGCGGCAUCGCAAGAUGACAGUUGUUAAAGAUUUAUCGCUUGAAGAGGAGCUUGCGGCAGAUUAGCUAGUUGGUAAGGUAAUGGCUUACCAAGGCUACGAUCUGUAACCGGUCUAAGAGGACGGUCGGUCACACUGACACUGAAUAACGGGUCAGACUCCUACGGGAGCAGC
rnacentral:rRNA from 1 species